CCUACGGGAGGCAGCAGUGGGGAAUUUUGGACAAUGGGCGCAAGCCUGAUCCAGCCAUACCGCGUGAGUGAAGAAGGCCUUCGGGUUCUAAAGCUCUUUCAGCCGGAAAGAAAUCGCAYUGGUUAACACNNUGUGUGGAUGACGGUACCGGAAGAAGAAGCACCGGCUAACUACGUGCCAGCAGCCGCGGUAAUACGUAGGGUGCGAGCGUUAAUCGGAAUUACUGGGCGUAAAGCGUGCGCAGGCGGUUUUGUAAGACAGAUGUGAAAUCCCCGGGCUCAACCUGGGAACUGCAUUUGUGACUGCVAGACUAGAGURUAGCAGAGGGGGGUAGAAUUCCACGUGUAGCAGUGAAAUGCGUAGADAUGUGGAGGAAUACCGAUGGCGAAGGCAGCCCCCUGGGCUAACACUGACGCUCAUGCACGAAAGCGUGGGGAGCAAACAGGAUUAGAUACCCUGGUAGUC
rnacentral:rRNA from 1 species